rnacentral:snRNA from 1 species
ACAACCUGCAGAUCAUUCACUUCUGCAGCAGAGGUAUCCAUCCCGGUACGGGAUAUGUUGGGAGAGGAGAUGGCGGAUAACUGCAUUUUUUGGAGAUUACGGACUG